GACGAACGCUGGCGGCGUGCCUAAUACAUGCAAGUAGAACGCUGAAGAGAGGAGCUUGCUCUUCUUGGAUGAGUUGCGAACGGGUGAGUAACGCGUAGGUAACCUGCCUUGUAGCGGGGGAUAACUAUUGGAAACGAUAGCUAAUACCGCAUAACAAUGGAUGACACAUGUCAUUUAUUUGAAAGGGGCAAUUGCUCCACUACAAGAUGGACCUGCGUUGUAUUAGCUAGUAGGUGAGGUAAUGGCUCACCUAGGCGACGAUACAUAGCCGACCUGAGAGGGUGAUCGGCCACACUGGGACUGAGACACGGCCCAGACUCCUACGGGAGGCAGCAGUAGGGAAUCUUCGGCAAUGGGGGCAACCCUGACCGAGCAACGCCGCGUGAGUGAAGAAGGUUGUCGGAUCGUAAAGCUCUGUUGUAAGUCAAGAACGGGUGUGAGAGUGGAAAGUUCACACUGUGACGGUAGCUUACCAGAAAGAGACGGCUAACUACGUG
rnacentral:rRNA from 1 species